ACUCAAAGGAAUAGACGGGGGCCCGCACAAGCGGUGGAGUAUGUGGUUUAAUUCGAAGCAACGCGAAGAACCUUACCUGGGUUUGACAUCCUCUGAAGACGGUAGAGAUACCGGGGGCUCGCAAGAGACAGAGAGACAGGUGCUGCAUGGCUGUCGUCAGCUCGUGUCGUGAGAUGUUGGGUUAAGUCCCGCAACGAGCGCAACCCUUAUCCUUAGUUGCCAUCAUUAAGUUGGGUACUUUAAGGAGACUGCCGGUGAUAAACCGGAGGAAGGUGGGGAUGACGUCAAGUCCUCAUGGCCCUUACGUCCAGGGCUACACACGUACUACAAUGGCCAAGACAAAGCGAAGCAACGUCGCAAGGCAGAGCAAAACGCAAAAACAUGGUCUCAGUUCGGAUUGUGGUCUGCAACUCGACCACAUGAAGUUGGAAUCGCUAGUAAUCGCGGAUCAGCAAGCCGCGGUGAAUACGUUCCCGGGCCUUGCACACACCGCCCGU
rnacentral:rRNA from 1 species